CAAUCCGUGUCGGCUGCUCUGCAUGAAGCCCAUAAAAUACAACUGUUCAAGUCAUAAGCUAUGUGGGUAUUGGUGUCGGUGACUGGCUCUGGUCCUCUCUCUCCUUCUGGCUUGAGGCUCUCUCUCCCCCUGAGCCCUGUCAGCACCAUUUGUGUGGAGCGGGGCGCUGAUUAGCGGACGGGCCACAGCCGGCUCAUCAGUUGUGCAGCGAGUGGGAAACAUUCCCAUAACCACCUACAACCGGGCCAUGAGGCAGCACGGCCUUCUGUCCCUGGUGCUGGGAGGACUGGGAAGCCUCUGAAUCUCUGGGGAUGCCACGAUAUGGAUUCCUAUCCUACCCCGUUACUUAACACCUGGACACAUCUGUCAGCAGUAGGCCCACACAUCUGCCUUGUGAGACUACAAGAACUCAACCAUGUGCAAAGCUGCAGCACUCCUAGUGAUUGUCGAGGAUGGAGAGAGGGUCAUUUCCCGGUCACUCGUUCAGGCUGCGUGAUGAAUGAAGAAAAGACAGAGAAAGAGAGGCCAGGGGAGAGGACGAGGCUGGAGGCUUUCAAUAGGAACAUUUA